GAUGAACGCUGGCGGCGUGCUUAACACAUGCAAGUCGAACGGAAAGGCCCAAGCUUGCUUGGGUACUCGAGUGGCGAACGGGUGAGUAACACGUGGGUGAUCUGCCCUGCACUUCGGGAUAAGCCUGGGAAACUGGGUCUAAUACCGGAUAGGACCACUUCUUGGAUGUUGUGGUGGACAGUUUUCUCGGUGUGGGAUGAGCUCGCGGCCUAUCAGCUUGUUGGUGGGGUAAUGGCCUACCAAGGCGUCGACGGGUAGCCGGCCUGAGAGGGUGUACGGCCACAUUGGGACUGAGAUACGGCCCAGACUCCGACGGGAGGCAGCAGUGGGGAAUAUUGCACAAUGGGCGCAAGCCUGAUGCAGCGACGCCGCGUGGGGGAUGACGGCCUUCGGGUUGUAAACUCCUUUCGCUAGGGACGAAGCGUUUUUGUGACGGUACCUGGAGAAGAAGCACCGGCUAACUACGUG
rnacentral:rRNA from 1 species